GCCGGGCGCGGUGGCACACGCCUGUAGUCCCAGCUACUCGGGAGGCUGAGACAGGAGAACCGCUUGAGUCCAGGAGUUCUGGGCUGUAGUGCGCUAUGCCGAUCGGGUGUUUGCACUAAAGUUUGGCAUCAAUAUGGUGACCUCCUGGGAGCGGGCGGCCACCAGGUUGCCUAAGGAGGAGGAG
rnacentral:SRP_RNA from 1 species